rnacentral:rRNA from 1 species
UACGUAGGGGGCAAGCGUUGUCCGGAAUCAUUGGGCGUAAAGCGCGCGUAGGCGGCCCUGUAAGUCCGUUGUGAAAGUCGAAGGCUCAACCUUCGAAAGCCGAUGGAUACUGCAGGGCUAGAGUCCGGAAGAGGCGAGUGGAAUUCCUGGUGUAGCGGUGGAAUGCGCAGAUAUCAGGAGGAACACCAAUAGCGAAGGCAGCUCGCUGGGACGUUACUGACACUGAGGCGCGAAAGCGUGGGGAGCGAACAGG